CCGGGAUCUCGAUUGACACUCAGGAGUCGGGUCCGGGGCUAUGUUUGUGAUUAUCCGCUGCGACAUUCUCAGCAAACCCAAUACCUGCCUCCUGCUCGGUGGAUUUGAGUCACGAUGUUUUUCGUUAAGGAUUCAGCAGCUGCUCCUUCGAGAGAUCUUUGUUUCAUGCGCUCACGAUGAAAGCCGCACUUAUAUUUCGCUGGGAAAUGGAAUCAAGGACCGUGCACCGAGUUCACAAUAAAUAACUAAGCAAAUGGCUGCCCCAUGAAAAUAACUCGGCCGGUGUGUGUGUGUCCAGCCUGGCUGGCAGCCAGCUCGAUGCCCAGGACCUCAAAUCUCCUGGUCACCCAGGGAUGCUCCCCGUGACUGCAACCAGGACGCUUGGCAUCGUGGAYGGGUCUGAGUGAGGACAGACAGGGGAGCUGGGGCUGACCUCCUCCCUCGCCUGCCCUGGGGGGUCUUGGGUGGACACGUGGAGCCCAGGACAGCAUUUUCUCAAGGGUGUUGUUCUGCAAAAUUCGGGAGAUUCUGCAGCUCUGUUCUCUUUGGCAUGAUCCACCACGCACAUGGGUUCUUCUUCUAGGUUAUCCUGAGCCCAGCUCAAGCCCAUCUGUCUCUAGGUCUCAAAUGCACUCUAUCUAUCUAUCUAUCUAUCUAUCUAUCUAUCUAUCUAUCUACCUACCUACCUAUGUAUCAGUGCCAGGGAUUGAAUUCAGGGCCACUCGACCACUGAGCCCCAUCCCCAGCCCUAUUUUGUAUUUUAUUUAGAGACAGGGUCUCACUGAGUUGCUGAGUGCCUCACUGUGGCUGAGGCUGGCUUUGAACUCUCCAUCCUCCUGAUUCUCUGGGAUGACGGCUAUGCGCCACUGUGCCCGGCUCAAAGGUACUUUAUAGUAUGAAUCACAAAUGCAGUGGAUGAGCCAGUUACUUGUGAAGGAGUUUCAUGAUCUCAGCGUCCACUCAAGACUAAGUCCAGAUGGUGGAUCCUGUCUUCUGAUGAAUCCCUGCUGCUUAGUCCAAUACCUGGCACAUAAUAGAUGCUUAAUAAAGAUUUGAAA
rnacentral:lncRNA from 1 species